rnacentral:lncRNA from 1 species
AGACGGUACCGCCACCAACAAAAAAUUUUUAUUCAUCAUCAUCGACAAGUGGCGGUAAGACAGAUAUUUGGAUGUCUAUUUUUCUAAUGAUUAAAACGGCGAGACGGCGAGGGUCAAACUAACUUUUUAAAACAAACAAUCCCAUAGGAAUUGGCGGGAAAGCAAAACAAACAAAAACAGAAACCGCCGGCCUUGUAAAAAAAAAAAAAGCCA